GGGGGCGUAAAGGUUUCGACGGGGAUUUUGAGAUACGGUAAGCGGGUAGAGUUUGGGGACACUCUGAAAUCAUCCCUACUUUAAAAUUAAACGCUAACGAUAAUUUAGCUCUGGCUGCCUGAUUUCAGGCAGUGCUGCGGACUUUUGUUCCGCCCGUCCUGUCUUUGAGGAUUACGGCUUAGAUUUGGGCGUCAAACAGUAAUGAACGUGCACCUCCGGUAUGCUGUUGAAGAGGUCAUGAAGAAAACAGCUGCCUGAUUUCUGCGCCUGUCUGCCGGCUCGGGAAUUCAGAAAGAUUUGUAGACAGUCUGCACCCGGAGAAAGCUGUAUUAAGAGAUUUUCGGACGAGGGUUCGAUUCCCUCCGUCUCCACCA
rnacentral:tmRNA from 1 species